rnacentral:miRNA from 1 species
GUUCAUCAACGCUGCACUCAA